UACGUAGGGUGCGAGCGUUGUCCGGAAUUAUUGGGCGUUAAAGGGCUCGUAGGCGGUCUGUCGCGUCGGGAGUGAAAACUCAGGGCUUAAACCCUGAGCCUGCUUCCGAUACGGGCAGACUAGAGGUAUGCAGGGGAGAACGAAUUCCUGGUGUAGCGGUGGAAUGCGCAGAUAUCAGGAGGAACGACCGGCUGGGUGGCAAA
rnacentral:rRNA from 1 species